UGAGAUGUAGCUCAGUGGUAAAGUGCUUGCCUAGCAUGUAUGAGGACCUGGGUUCAAUCCUCAGCACCACAU
rnacentral:tRNA from 1 species